rnacentral:lncRNA from 1 species
UGGACACUUGAUAUGAAUUGGUCUUUUCUAGGCAUUCAAGUUUAUGUCAUUUCUUCUCCUAGGCAAUUAUAUCAUAUGAUAUAUCAUUAGCUUAUUUUAGCGAGAUCGUAGAAAAUUGAACUCUAUGAUAUAUAUGUCAUAUCUUAAUAGUAUAUGUCAUGAGCUCCAUAUAUCGCCAGUUGAACACAUACAUAUCUCAGCGGAAUAUUUUAGAGAGUGCUUGACUGAUAUAACAUGACUUCAAUUUUACAACAUCUAGUGAAAAGGUCUGGCUUUGAAAAUGGUAAGAGCAAAGGUUUAUAGGACUUGCAUAACUAGUAGAAAAAACAGGCUGUAGUCUCGGUUUUUCAGUCAGGACUACAAAACCAAGAUUAGACCUUUAGUCUUGGUCUAGAGAAUCUAGACUAAAGGCUCUGAGGCUAAAAAAUGUUCAUGCCCAUGUGGCUCGUGAGACUUGGACCCAAGACCAAUUACUAAAUAUAGGGAAAUUAGAAAAAUUAAUUAAACUCUACGAUAUCUAUAUCCUAUCUUAAUAGUAUAAUUGAGGAGCUCCAUAUAUCGAGGUUGAAUACACACACAUCUUUGUGGAAUACUAGAGUGCUUGAAUAAUCUAACAUGACUUCAAUUAUAACAUCUAUAGAAAAUGGUUGGUCUAGAAAAUGGUAAGAGCAAAGGUUGAUCGGGCUUACGUUACUAGCUAGUAUGAAAAUGUGGUUAAUCCUUUAGUUCUGCUCGGGAGAAAAACCGGAAAUAAAAGGUCUUCCAAGGCUAAAAAAAAUCCCUCGGCACCCCUAUGACUCGAGUGCCCCAUACCUUAUGCAUUGCCUCACUCGUAGCUUUGCACCCACCU